CAGGCUUAACACAUGCAAGUCGAACGCCCCGCAAGGGGAGUGGCAGACGGGUGAGUAACACGUGGGAACGUACCCUUUGGUUCGGAACAACCCUGGGAAACUAGGGCUAAUACCGGAUACGCGCGAGAGCGGAAAGGUUUACCGCCGAAGGAUCGGCCCGCGUCUGAUUAGCUAGUUGGUGAGGUAACGGCUCACCAAGGCGACGAUCAGUAGCUGGUCUGAGAGGAUGAUCAGCCACAUUGGGACUGAGACACGGUCCAGACUCCUACGGGAGGCAGCAGUGGGGAAUCUUGCGCAAUGGGCGAAAGCCUGACGCAGCGACGCCGCGUGAGUGAUGAAGGCCCUCGGGUUGUAAAGCUCUGUGGGGAGAGACGAAUAAGUCUUGGCUAAUAUCCAAGGUGAUGACGGUAUCUCCUUAGCAAGCACCGGCUAACUCUGUGCCAGCAGCCGCGGUAAU
rnacentral:rRNA from 1 species